CAUAGCCGAAGAUAUCAGCCGGGUUUAGGUUGGGAGAUACGGUGUGCACGGUACCCAGGGAGGCAUCAUACACGCCACCCCAGAACAUGGCCUUAGCCACAAAUGCUAAGCAAAGGAUCCCCAACAAUAGGAGGUGGUGACCGAGGAUGAGGCUGAGUUGCUUGGUAUCGCCCCA
rnacentral:antisense_RNA from 14 species